rnacentral:rRNA from 1 species
GCUUGCUAUCAGGCGUCGAGCGGCGGACGGGUGAGUAAUACUUAGGAAUCUACCUAGUAGUGGGGGAUAGCACGGGGAAACUCGUAUUAAUACCGCAUACGACCUACGGGAGAAAGGGGGCAGUUUACUGCUCUCGCUAUUAGAUGAGCCUAAGUCGGAUUAGCUAGAUGGUGGGGUAAAGGCCUACCAUGGCGACGAUCUGUAGCUGGUCUGAGAGGAUGAUCAGCCACACCGGGACUGAGACACGGCCCGGACUCCUACGGGAGGCAGCAGUGGGGAAUAUUGGACAAUGGGGGAAACCCUGAUCCAGCCAUGCCGCGUGUGUGAAGAAGGCCUUUUGGUUGUAAAGCACUUUAAGCAGUGAAGAAGACUCUUCGGUUAAUACCCGGAGACGAUGACAUUAGCUGCAGAAUAAGCACCGGCUAACUCUGUGCCAGCAGCCGCGGUAAUACAGAGGGUGCAAGCGUUAAUCGGAAUUACUGGGCGUAAAGGGAGCGUAGGUGGCUCUAUAAGUCAGAUGUGAAAUCCCCGGGCUUAACCUGGGAACUGCAUCUGAAACUGUAGAGCUAGAGUAUGUGAGAGGGAGGUAGAAUUUCAGGUGUAGCGGUGAAAUGCGUAGAGAUCUGAAGGAAUACCGAUGGCGAAGGCAGCCUCCUGGCAUAAUACUGACACUGAGGCUCGAAAGCGUGGGUAGCAAACAGGAUUAGAUACCCUGGUAGUCCACGCCGUAAACGAUGUCUACUAGUCGUUGGGUCCCUUGAGGACUUAGUGACGCAGCUAACGCAAUAAGUAGACCGCCUGGGGAGUACGGCCGCAAGGUUAAAACUCAAAUGAAUUGACGGGGGCCCGCACAAGCGGUGGAGCAUGUGGUUUAAUU